rnacentral:rRNA from 1 species
AUGAACGCUAGCGGCAGGCUUAAUACAUGCAAGUCGAGGGGUAGCAAGAUUGUAGCAAUACAAUUGUUGACGACCGGCAAACGGGUGCGGAACACGUACACAACCUUCCUACAAGUGGGAAUAGCCCAGAGAAAUUUGGAUUAAUACCCCGUAACAUAGCGAUGUGGCAUCACAUUGCUAUUAUAGCUUCGGCGCUUGUUGAUGGGUGUGCGGCUGAUUAGAUAGUUGGCGGGGUAACGGCCCACCAAGUCUACGAUCAGUAGCUGAUGUGAGAGCAUGAUCAGCCACACGGGCACUGAGACACGGGCCCGACUCCUACGGGAGGCAGCAGUAAGGAAUAUUGGACAAUGGACGCAAGUCUGAUCCAGCCAUGCCGCGUGAAGGAUUAAGGUCCUCUGGAUUGUAAACUUCUUUUAUAAGGGACGAAAAAAGGUCUUUCUAGAUCGUCUGACGGUACCUUAUGAAUAAGCACCGGCUAACUCCGUG